GGAGCGGCGUGAGGGUCUCGAGCGCUGGGGAGGGGCCGCUCCCGGGAGGGACUGGGUCCGGCUCGGGCACCGAGUCUGGGAAGUCUUGGGGCUGAGCACCCCAGCGGCUCCCCCGUGCUCAGGCCUUUCCCCAGACCCCGCUUUUCCCGCAUCCCCGGCACUGCCCGUGGGACCCUUCCUUGGCAUCGGGGCCGGGCUUGAGUCGCCUCCCGGGGCUGGGAAGGGCCAGGAGGGCGGCGGGGCUUGUGUGGUCCCGGCUGGAGAGCGGG